rnacentral:rRNA from 1 species
AUUGAACGCUGGCGGCAGGCCUAACACAUGCAAGUCGAACGAGUGGCGGACGGGUGAGUAAUGUCUGGGAAACUGCCCGAUGGAGGGGGAUAACUACUGGAAACGGUAGCUAAUACCGCAUACCAUCGGAUGUGCCCAGAUGGGAUUAGCUAGUAGGGGGGGUAACGGAUCACCUAGGCGAAGAUCCCGAGCUGGUCUGAGAGGAUGACCAUACACACUGGAACUGAGACACGGUGCAGACUCCUACGGGAGGCAGCAGUGGGGAAUAUUUCACAAUGUGCGCAAGCCUGAUGCAGCCAUGCCGCGUGUAUGAAGAAGGCCUUCGGGUUGUAAAGUACGUUCAGCGAGGAGGCGUUACUCGCAGAAGAAGCACCGGCUAACUCCGUGCCAGCCGCCGCGGUAAUAC